rfam:Gammaproteobacteria bacterium RIFCSPLOWO2_12_47_11 rifcsplowo2_12_sub10_scaffold_203, whole genome shotgun sequence.
UAUCUACUGCGGCGUUUGUGUACAGGUGUGUGGUAACUUGAGCCUAUAAUGCACUGCACCGGGAACAAAAUCGCGUUGUUGUUGUGCACGUCCUUCACGGGAAAGCCUGAUACGACGCCAGCUGUUCCCACUUGGACUCUGGUUCAAGUUCGAUUACCUGUCACGGCGCUGUGGUGAUACC